rnacentral:rRNA from 1 species
AGUGAACGCUGGCGGUAGGCCUAACACAUGCAAGUCGAACGGCAGCACAGUAAGAGCUUGCUCUUACGGGUGGCGAGUGGCGGACGGGUGAGGAAUACAUCGGAAUCUACUUUUUCGUGGGGGAUAACGUAGGGAAACUUACGCUAAUACCGCAUACGACCUACGGGUGAAAGCAGGGGAUCUUCUGACCUUGCGCGAUUGAAUGAGCCGAUGUCGGAUUAGCUAGUUGGCGGGGUAAAGGCCCACCAAGGCGACGAUCCGUAGCUGGUCUGAGAGGAUGAUCAGCCACACUGAGACUGAGACACGGUCCAGACUCCUACGGGAGGCAGCAGUGGGGAAUAUUGGACAAUGGGCGCAAGCCUGAGCCAGCCAUACCGCGUGGGUGAAGAAGGCCUUCGGGUUGUAAAGCCGUUUUGUUGGGAAAGAAAAGCAGCAGGUUAAUACCCCGCUGUUCUGACGGUACCCAAAGAAUAAGCACCGGCUAACUUCGUG